GAGCGAUACGCUGGCGGUAUGCUCACAGUGUACGUCGAACGAAAGUUAUACUUUAGUGGCGGACGGGUGAUAUAUGAGAAUCUACCUUUAGGAAGGGAAUAACAAUUGGAAACGAUUGCUAAUGCCCUAUAUGCUUAGCAGUGAAACAGAUUUAUCUUGCCUGCAAGAUGAGCUCGACGCCUGACUUAGCUACGUUGGUAGAGUAAAAGCCUACCAAGGCAACGAUCAGUAGCUGGUUUGAGAGGACGAUCAGACACACUGGGACUUGAGACACGGACCAGACUUCUACGGAAGUGCAGCAGUGGGGAAUUUUCCGCAAUGAGCGAAAGCUUGACGGAGCAAUACCGCGUGAGGGAAGAAUGCCUGUGGGUUGUCAACCUCUUUUAUAAGGAAGAAAAUAUGACGGUACCUACAAGAAUAAGCCAUCGGCUCAAUCCGUGCCCAGCAGACAGGGAUAAUACCGGGGAUGCAAAGCGUUAUCCAGGAAUUACUUGAGCGGUUAAAGCCGUCUUGGAAGGUGGGCUUCAAAAAGAUCUGGAUGGUUAAAUAUUAAA
rnacentral:rRNA from 1 species